AGCUGUAACUAUUGCUGGGUUCAAGGGAGGGUUCCAGGCACCCGGGAAGUACUGCUUUUUCCCUGCUGCCACCAGUUCCAGAGAAGGAAAGAACAGUCCAACCUGGCAAUCCCUGAUAAGAUAUAAAUAUGAAACACAUGCAUCAGACACAGAUAGAGGAGUCAUUUCUUUUCACGUCUGCAAACUGAAUUUCCGUGCCUGAUAUAUCCCUUCUGCAAAUGGACAUGCUGCACUGUCAGAUUUAUCAGGGCAGGAUCAUCCUCUCAUUGGACACACUGCUUGAACAACCAGGGCAAGCCUGUGAUGGUGUAAAGUAAUUUCCACAGAACUGUAUCAACUCACACCAGCUGAGGUUUGGUCCUUGUACACUGUUAUCAGCAGAGAAAAAGAAAAUGAAAAUGAAAGUGAAAUUGAAAACUAAAAUGAAAAUGAAGACACACGCACCCCUGAACAUGACAGUCAUGAACUUCA